rnacentral:rRNA from 1 species
CAAUAGCGUAUAUUAAAGUUGUUGCGUAAGGUUCAAAAAUGCGUUCGAUAGUUUGGGAUUUUCUGCUGAGGACGAUCGGUCCGCCCACUGGGUGAGUAUCUGGCUCGGCCUUGGCAUCUUCUUGGAGAACGUUGCUGCACUUGACUGUGUGGUGCGGUAUCCAGGACUUUUACUUUGAGGAAAUUAGAGUGUUUCAAGCAGGCGCACGCCUUGAAUACAUUAGCAUGGAAUAAUAAGAUAGGACCUUGGUUCUAUUUUGUUGGUUCUAGAGCUGAGGUAAUGAUUAAUAGGGAUAGUUGGGGGCAUUCGUAUUUAACUGUCAGAGGUGAAAUUUCUUGGAUUUGUUAAAGACGGACUACUGCGAAAGCAUUUGCCAAGGAUGUUUUUCAUUGAUCAAGAACGAAAGUUAGGGGUAUCGAAGAUGAUCAGAU